UGUGCAGGAAGGACCAGCUGUAUAAUCUGG
rnacentral:piRNA from 1 species